UUCAGGCCAGGUGGGAAAUCUUUUUUUUUUGUUACUUUAAUUUGAUGCAUUGAGAUAAACAAAGAUGUUGUGAGGUCCAUCUCCCUUUCAUGCAGUGUAUCUAACACUGUAAGGGAAACCUGGAAACAGACAUAAUAGGAAACUUUAAUGCUAGUACAUUCCAUACUGCCAUGUGCAGUUUAAUUUGCUGUUGAAAUGCGUGCUAUUGCAUCCAUCAACACACAUAUUCAUCAGGUCUGUUUAUACAUUUUGGGUGGUGCAGCUCAGCAGACGAGGAAAUGGUAAGAAGUCUGCUUAACAGUAAUUUUCUUUUUUUUACCUCAAAGCAUUCUCUGUCAGUGCCCCAGUCAGCUCUGAUUUCCUCGGUUUUGCCUGCCCCAGGUUCAGGUCCAAUGCAUUUAAGGCGUGCUGGUCUUACGUCUGUGGCAUCUGUUGAGGAAUGUGAUGAAUGCUGUCUGUACCCUUCUGACAGCACUAUACUCGCAUGAUUUAAGCCCAGACGAUCUGCUCCACCCUGAUGCCUGAGACUGAGGCUGAUGUUUAUACUUAGAUGUCUGGUACUUCAAACAUUUAAAACAUCUAACACAUUCGCAGUAUGGCCUUUGCAUUCAAGUUUAAACAACUCGAAACGUAAAAAAAAAGAAAAAAAAAAAGAAAAGAAAAAAACUAGUACAUAUGCACUUAGCUUAAAAAAAAACAACAACCACACAACAGUAGUGAAGCUUCCAUGGGAAGGCACAUCUGAGUGAUGUGCACCUCUUCUCACAAGUCAACCAUGCUGCUGCUAUUACAGGUGCAACACACAAAUUUCCAAGACUGGCUAUGUAUACAGCUGACAAGAGUAACAGAGAUUCAUCAUAUGGUGGUGUUAUCCCGUGGAAAAAUCCAAAUGAAAGACUCAAGGAAUCUGCUUUAGCUAUGAAGGUGUUGCAUUCAGUUUCUUCCCUAUACUGGUUAGAUUAUUGGUACCUACCCAGAGCCAUUUUUGCCAUCACCAAAAGGGAGUGAGUGAGUGCACAGUGGACUAAUAGCAAUGUCCCCAGAGCAACACAUGACUCACAGCCCACAACUCUCUGCGUUUUAAUGCACAAAACUAAUGUAAAUUAGACUUCAGAACAAACCUCUAAUCUCUUCAUGCCUGAUUAAAAAUAUAAUCUGACAAAAAACCCUGUUCACAUUAGGUAAAGUCUUGGCAGUUCUGUAAACUUAACUUAUUAAAUAAGCACUCUGAGAAAACAUUUGAAGCAACAUGUUGGUAAAGCUUGG
ensembl:lncRNA